rnacentral:rRNA from 1 species
UACGUAGGGUGCGAGCGUUAAUCGGAAUUACUGGGCGUAAAGCGUGCGCAGGCGGUUCUGAAAGUCAGCUGUGAAAGCCCCGGGCUUAACCUGGGAAUUGCGGUUGAAACUACAGGGCUAGAAUCUGGCAGAGGGGGGUGGAAUUCCACGUGUAGCAGUGAAAUGCGUAGAGGUGUGGAGGAACACCGAUGGCGAAGGCAGCCCCCUGGGCUGAGAUUGACGCUCAGGCACGAAAGCGUGGGGAGCAAACAGG